rnacentral:rRNA from 1 species
ACCAAGGCUAUGACCGGUAGGGAGGGUGAGAGCCUGAUUCCCAACGAGGGCACUGAGACACGGGCCCUACUCCUACGGGAGGCAGCAGUCGAGAAUAUUCGACAAUGGGCGAAAGCCUGAUCGAGCGACGCCGCGUGCAGGAAGAAGUCCUUCGGGAUGUAAACUGCUUUUCUACGGGAGAAAGUCUGCUUUCGGGCAGGUUGAUAGUACCGUAGGAAUAAGAGGUGGCUAACUUCGUGCCAGCAGCAGCGGUAAUACGAAGGCCUCAAGCGUUAUCCGGAUUCACUGGGCGUAAAGGGUGCGUAGGGGGCUAUGCGCGUUUCUCGUAAAAGCUCACCGCCUAACGGUGACAUCGCGGGGAAUACGGCAUAGCUAGAAGGUGCGAGAGGUUUGCGGAACGCAUGGUGUAGGGGUGAAAUCCGUUGAUAUCAUGCGGAACACCGAAGGCGAAGGCAGCAAACUGGCGCAUUCUUGACCCUGAGGCACGAAAGCGUGGGGAGCAAAAAGGAUUAGAUACCCUUGUAGUCCACGCCCUAAACUAUGUUGACUAGCCGUUUUGAGUAUCGACCCUCGGAGCGGCGCAGCUAACGCGUUAAGUCAACCGCCUGGGAAGUACGAGCGCAAGCUUAAAACUCAAAGGAAUAGACGGGGACUCGCACAAGCGGAGGAGCAUGAGGUUUAAUUCGAUGGUAAACGAGAAACCUUACCAGGGCUUGAAAUUCUAGCGGAAAUCCACCAGAAAUGGAGGAUGUCUCUCAAGGACCGCUAGUCCAGGUGCUGCACGGUUGUCGUCAGCUCGUGUCAUGAGAUGUUCCCUUAAGUGGGGUAACGAGCGCAACCCUUGUCCCGUGUUACAAGUGUCACGGGAGACCGCCCCCACAUUUGUUUUGGAGCCGAGAGAUCGGUUCGAGGAUAAAUGUGGGGGAGGAAGGAGAGGAUGACGUCAAAUCAGCGUGGCCUUUUGAUGCCCUGGGCGACACUCAUGCUGCAAUGGCCGGUACAAAGGGUUGCCAAGCCGUAAGGUGGAGCUAAUCCCAAAAAGCCGGCCCCAGUUCGGAUUGCGGGCUGAAACCCGCCCGCAUGAAGUUGGAUUCGCUAGUAAUCGUGGAUCAGCAGGCCACGGUGAAUACGUUCUCGAGUCUUGUACUCACCGCCCGUCAAGUCAAGGGAGCCGGGAAAGCCUGAAGUGCGCUUCGCGCGUAUCAGGGCUGGCUCGGUGACAUGGGCUAAGUCGUAACAAGGCACGUGUAGCGGAAGCUGUGCGUGGAACAAUUAAACU